GUAGCUGUGGCCAAGUGGUUAAGGUAAUGGACUAGAAAUCCAUUGGGGUCUCCCCACAUAGGUUCAAAGCCUGCCAACUACA